UCUAGUCAGCAACAGUUCUUCAGAGUUUAGGAACCCAGAGCAUGUGCUGACCUUCCAGUAACAGUUGAGUGGGCCAAAGGAAAGGGCCGCCAUAUUGAUACUUUGAUGCCCAUCCCUCUGAGGCUGGAAAUACAGUCACAAAAUCACCCAAGUUCUUUCCUUGCAUAUCUUGGAUAGUCUUUAGGAUGAUAGAUGGUCUGGCCACUUUCAGGCAGCUAACUGUGAGGCUUCACUGCCAUCUUGCCUUUAACCUUGUCUUCUGUCCCAUGGUCAGCAGAAGCGAGCUUUGCCUAGUAACCCCCCACAGCCUUCACCUUGAGCAUGAACAUCAGUGCCAGGGCACACUUUCCGAACUGCUGUUGGGGCUCAGAAAACCACACCCUAAACCCUGGUAUAUUGAUGGAUAAGAACCAGCACUAAGUGGCCCUCAGAUUCAGGAUUCCUCUUCCCUUGUCUUUCUUCUGCUCUGGAAAUUGCCUUAUUUGGGGAAACCCAAACUCUAAGAGAAGCCAUUCCACCACUUGUUAUCUCUUCCCGAGAUCUCAUUUCAUGACUCAGAAAGAAAUGAAGUCUGAGCAGGGUUAAUAAAGGGGCAGCUGGACUUAGAAGAUAAUAUCUUUCUCUUGGGCAUAUUCACAUCCCAAAGAGCAUCCUUUCACAAGACAAUUCUGGGUCCAUACAUACCCUGCCCUACCCCACUCCUAUCCCACCACAGAAAAGAUUCGUACAUGUGGCCAUUUUUGUCCCCUGUGAAGAAAAGUAUUUAAUCUUCAACACUCUAGCUUUCCUUUGAAUUUCAUGUGUGGAUAUAGAUCGCAUCUCUCUGUUAAUACACACGGGAUGUUCUGUCUUUAUCUCCCAUUUAGUCUGUUGGUUUCAACAGUAUCCCAUUUCUGCAGCCCAGCAGCUCAAGUUUUUCUCUACAGUUAGCAUAAUCUCUUCUGUAAACUCAUUCUCCUGUUGUCUGCAGAUUUCAUUCUUCAGACUUGAGACAAGUACUGGGAGGCUAUGGGCUGCUGUUCUCUUAAGAGACUGUUGGUUUUCAGGAUUUGCAUCUAUCCAGACAGCCUCUGCGUGUCGACCCAGUCAGAAUCUAUCUCUAUCUCUAUCUCUAAAUCUCAAUGGUGCUGAGAUGAACUGCUUCACUGAGCAACUGCAGGUGACGGGAACAAGACAAACAUUUGCCAUGAGAUGUUCAAAUAAGCCACAGUUCUUCGGAGUUCCAGGACCCAGAGCAUAUGCUGGUCUUCCAUAACAGUUGAAGGCACCAAAGGAAAGGACCACCAUAUUGAUACUCGGAGAUAAUAAAUGCUCAAGAAACACUUCCUGAGUCACAUGACAGAUGAGAACAACAACGAAGCUGGCAAUGAAGGCCUUGCCCCAUCUACCAGAGGCCUUGAUGUGAGCAUAAUGAUUAAUACACGGAACACAAUUCUCAGUCCUUCUGUUAUUGGCACUGAGCAUGGCUAUGAGAAAACCAAUACAUCAGACAGGACCUGGCUGGAAGGAAGUGAGACUUUUUUUCAGGAGCGAUGACCCUGGAGUCAGAAGGUUCUCAUACUCUGGGAUCCUUCAUGAGGAUCUCAAGUACAUGAAAGGUUGUUUUGGUUGUUGUUGUUGUUUUGUUUUUUUUAGGAAGAAGAGAAGGAUCAGGGGCAGGGGAUGUACCCCUUGCUUUUCUUCUCUGGGGUUAGUUAUGAAUAGUUACAGCUUGCAGCUGUGUGUGUGUGUGUGUGUGUGUGUGUGUGUGUGUGUGUGUGUGUGUUGCACGUUAGCCAGUGGGCAGGAUUCCAGAAUGAGAGUGGCAUUGCCAGCUUUCAGUGUCACGGAAGCUCUGCCCACCUACAGCCCGAGUGUCUGGAGCCACAUACCUGUGUGCCCCUUACAGAUGCCUCCUGGAGAGAUUUUUACUUCAAACAGAGAAGGGACAGGUGAGGAACAGAGUUGUGCUUUGACGGGAAGUCUCACUCCACUGGUAAGGGUGAGGGUUUCUUGGGGAUUUAGGAAACGUCACCUGAGGGAGAGGUCCCGGAAUGAGACAAACAUCUUCCAGCAAACAGGAUGAUCCGCUGAUGCUGACUGGACCGUUUAGGUCCUUCCUUCAAACCGAAGUCGUAUGUUAGACUGUUAGCACCACCUUGGUAGGAUGCUCUGUAUCAGUUCAUUAAUAAGUGUUUCACUGAGACAAAAAUAAAGCUUCCAGGCACUAGAGGAGGUCUUGCGGUGGGAAGUUUCUCCCGGAAGAGGAAAUUGCCCAUUUGUUUCGAACUUUGCUGGGAAGAACCAGCUUCAAGCAACAGGUGGGAGGCGGUUAGUCUUGGGGGUGGGCAAAGCACACUUGGGCGUGUGCCUGUGAGGGUGUUUCCAUGGAAGACUGGCAUGUGGGUCGGUGAGCUGGCUGGGGAGGACCUGCCCUAAACACGGGCAGCGCCGUUCCGUAAGGCACAGGCCCUGCCGAAUGAAAUGGGUGUGGAGGGGUGGGGUAGGGAUGGAGCAAGGGUCCUGGUCACCUGGGCUGCCUGUUGGACCCAGGGCCUUGCACACCAUAGGCAAAUGCUCUACCAUUCAAAGCACCGCUUGUUUUCAAACAGAGGUCUCAGUUUUCAUUACGUAGCUGGGGCUGGCUUUGAACUCCCUAUCCUCCAGUACUAGGAUGGCAGGAUUGCCUCUGUUCCUGAACUUUUCUAGAGCAGGUUCGUCUUUUGUUGCCAUGGCUACUCACAGCAGACUUUAGAUUCCUCGGCCUUUGAAUGCACAGUUCUUUCACCCCAUCUUUCCAAGAACCUUUGAAGCUACUGGUUUCCCUGGCUCCCUAGCUUGCAAAUGGUUUUGUGGAAAUGCUCAGCCUCUGACCAUGUGAAUCGUUAAAUAAACCCUCUGUUAUUAUCA